rnacentral:lncRNA from 1 species
GGGCAUCCUUAUUUUCAGCACAGUGUUUGUCCUGAAACUUCAAUGGAGUGCUCCUAGUUUGACAACUUGGGCCAUGCCAAAUAAAUUGAAUUUCUCUUUCUUAACAACAGAUGUUUGAAUACAGCCCCGUGUCCCUCUCUGCUCCUUCCUGCCUUCCUCCUCUCCUCUUCCUUCCCUUCCUUUUCAAGCGCAGGGUUUGCAAACUUUUUCUUGAAAGCGUCAGAUAGUAAAUAUUUUAGACUUCGUGGGCCAUACAGUCUCUUGUAGUAGUUACUCAACUCUGCCACCCAUAGCAUGAAAGCAGCUGAUAUAGUUUGAAUAUGUGUCCCUGCCCAAAUUUCAUGUUGCAAUGUAAUCCCCAGUGUUAGAGGUGGGGCCUGGUGGGAAGAGAUUUGAUAAUGGGGGUGGAUUUCUCAUGAAUGAUUUAUCAUCAUCCCUUUGGUCCUGUCCUUGCAAUCGUGAGUUCUUGCAAGAUCUGGUUGCUUACGAGUGUGUAGCACCUCCCUCCUCACUCUCUUGCUCCCGCUUCACCUUCUGCCAUGACUGUAAGUUUCCUGAGGCCUCCACAGAAGCUCAGCGAUGUCAGUGUCAUGCUCCCUCUACAGCCUGCAAAACUGUGAGCCAAUUAAACCUCUUUUCUUUAUACAUAUCCCAGUCUCAGCUAUUUCUUUAUAGCAUGAGAGAACAGCCUAAUCCAGCAGCCACAGACAAUAUGUAGCAAAUGGGCAUGGUUGUGUUCAAUAAACUUCAUUGACAAAACAUGUGCAAGCAGGUCAGAUUUGGCCCAUGGGCCAUAGUGUCCUAACCCUGCUCUGGAAUAUUCUCUUCAGCAACCUCUGCCUCCUGGGUUCAAGCAAUUCUCCUGCCUCAGCCUCCCAAGUAGCUGGGAUUACAGGCACCUGCCACCACACCUGGCUAAUUUUUGUAUUUUUUAAUAGAAAUAGGGUUUCACCAUGUUGGCCAGGCUGGUCUCAAACUACUGACAUCAGGUGAUCCACCCAUCUCAGCCUCCCAAAAUGCUGAGAUUACAGGUGCCGCCACCACACCUGGCUAAUUUUUGUAUUUUUAGUAAGAUGUGAUUUCACUAUGUUGCCCAGGCUGGUCUCGAACUCCUGAUCUCAAGCCAUUCACGUGCCUCAGCCUCCCAAAGUGCUGGGAUUACAGGUGUGAGCCACUGCAGCUGCCCUCCAGAUUUUUUUUUUGACCAUUGCUUAUUUGGUUUGACUUUCAUUUUCUUCCCCAUUGUGGUAGCCAUUUUCUGAAUGCCUGUUAGUUUGCCCGUCUCUCUCCUCUGUAGUCCCUAGAGUCAGAUGAACUCUCUGCAGGUGCAAUGGUGUAACACUCUCUAGUGCUGAAUUCUGAGCAGGAGAAAGAGAGCAAGAAUGACCAGCACUCUUGGAAACUCUGGCCUCCUGAGAAUUUGGUGUCUUCUCUGCAAAGGUUGCAAACCUGUUAACCCACAGGCCAGAGAGGGAGAGAAGCCAGGAGCAUGAUCUGUUAAGCUUGAGUUUAAUAUUUGAUGCACAGAGAUCACUGAGUUUUUUGAUAAGAAUUAGAGGGGGAAGACACAGCCACAGAGAACAAUUUCUAUCCCCAGGUGAGGAUUCAGGAGAUAAUCUGUGAAAAGAACAUCCUGAGAACUGAGAUGGGGGAAAUCGCUGGUGUUAGAAGGGUGAAAAGGUCACUAAUUAAGGCUAUGACUUGCUCUGAGGGUGAAAGCAGAAAAUGAGACUGCCAGGCAUGAAUAAUGAGAAAUCUUUGAUGGAAUUAGCCGUGCAGAACAGAUACUAAAUGCAUCCUCGUUCUCUCAUAGUC